AGGACGAACGCUGGCGGCGUGCUUAACACAUGCAAGUCGAGCGGAGAAUAUAGCAAUAUAUUCUUAGCGGCGGACGGGUGAGUAACGCGUGGGCAAUCUGCCUCAUACAGGGGGAUAACACUGGGAAACUAGUGCUAAUACCGCAUAAAAUAGUGAAGUGGCAUCACUUUACUAUCAAAGGAGCAAUCCGGUGUGAGAUGAGCCCGCGUCCGAUUAGCUAGUUGGAGGGUAACGGCCCACCAAGGCGACGAUCGGUAGCCGAACUGAGAGGUUGAUCGGCCACAUUGGGACUGAGACACGGCCCAGACUCCUACGGGAGGCAGCAGUGGGGAAUAUUGCGCAAAUGGGGGAAACCCUGACGCAGCAACGCCGCGUGAAGGAUGAAGGUUUUCGGAUUGUAAACUUCUUUGAUUGGGGACGAUAAUGACGGUACCCAAAAAACAAGCCACGGCUAACUACGUGCCAGCAGCCGC
rnacentral:rRNA from 1 species